rnacentral:rRNA from 1 species
AUUGAACGCUGGCGGCAGGCCUAACACAUGCAAGUCGAACGGUAACAGGAAGCAGCUUGCUGCUUCGCUGACGAGUGGCGGACGGGUGAGUAAUGUCUGGGAAACUGCCUGAUGGAGGGGGAUAACUACUGGAAACGGUAGCUAAUACCGCAUAACGUCGCAAGACCAAAGAGGGGGACCUUCGGGCCUCUUGCCAUCGGAUGUGCCCAGAUGGGAUUAGCUAGUAGGUGGGGUAACGGCUCACCUAGGCGACGAUCCCUAGCUGGUCUGAGAGGAUGACCAGCCACACUGGAACUGAGACACGGUCCAGACUCCUACGGGAGGCAGCAGUGGGGAAUAUUGCACAAUGGGCGCAAGCCUGAUGCAGCCAUGCCGCGUGUAUGAAGAAGGCCUUCGGGUUGUAAAGUACUUUCAGCGGGGAGGAAGGGAGUAAAGUUAAUACCUUUGCUCAUUGACGUUACCCGCAGAAGAAGCACCGGCUAACUCCGUGCC